AAGUGAAACCGCGAACGGCUCAUUACAACAGCUAUAAUUUACUUGAUGUUGAUAUCCUACGUGGAUAACUGUGGUAAUUCUAGAGCUAAUACAUGCACCAAAGCUCUGAUUAACGACGAGCGCAUCUAUUAGACUAAAACCAAUCGAUUGUUGCCGUUUGAAAUCAAUCGGUGCAGUCGUUGUUUUGGUGACUCUGAAUAGCUUUGCUGAUCGCAUGGUCAUGUACCGGCGACAUGUCUAUCAAGUAUCUGCCUUAUCAACUUUCGAUGGUAGUUUAUGUGCCUACCAUGGUUGUUACGGGUAACGGAGAAUAAGGGUUCGACUCCGGAGAGGGAGCCUGAGAAACGGCUACCACAUCCAAGGAAGGCAGCAGGCGCGCAAAUUACCCACUCUCGGCACGAGGAGGUAGUGACGAAAAAUAACGAGACCGUUCUCUAUGAGGCCGGUUAUCGGAAUGAGUACAAUUUAAAUCUGUUAACGAGGAUCUAUGAGAGGGCAAGUCUGGUGCCAGCAGCCGCGGUAAUUCCAGCUCUCAAAGUGUAUAUCGUCAUUGCUGCGGUUAAAAAGCUCGUAGUUGGAUCUGCGCUUGGAAACCUGGUCCACCGUUAUCUGGUGCUGAACUGGGAUUUUCGGCUAUACAUAUUUUGUUGGUUUUCUCUACGUUACCUUUAUUGGUCGCGUAGGGUGGCUAGCGAGUUUACUUUGAAAAAAUUAGAGUGCUUAAAGCGGGUCGUUUAAGCUUGAAUAUUUGUGCAUGGAAUAAUAGAAUAGGAUCUCGGUUCUAUUUUGUUGGUUUUCGGAGCUGAGAUAAUGGUUAACAGGGACAGACGGGGGCAUUCGUAUCGUUACGUGAGAGGUGAAAUUCUUGGACCGUAGCGAGACGCCCGACUGCGAAAGCAUUUGCCAAGAAUGUCUUCAUUAAUCAAGAACGAAAGUCAGAGGUUCGAAGGCGAUCAGAUACCGCCCUAGUUCUGACCGUAAACGAUACCAACUAGCGAUCCGCCGCUGGCAAGCACGCCUUGGCGGGCAGCUUCCCGGAAACGAAAGUUUUUCGGUUCCGGGGGAAGUAUGGUUGCAAAGCUGAAACUUAAAGAAAUUGACGGAAGGGCACCACCAGGAGUGGAGCCUGCGGCUUAAUUUGACUCAACACGGGAAAACUCACCUGGCCCGGACACCGUGAGGAUUGACAGAUUGAGAGCUCUUUCUUGAUUCGGUGGUUGGUGGUGCAUGGCCGUUCUUAGUUGGUGGAGUGAUUUGUCUGGUUUAUUCCGAUAACGAGCGAGACUCUAGCCUACUAAAUAGUUACUAAAUAAUUAUGGGAGUAUUUUUCUUCGUUUUGCGGAGAGAAUGCUUCAGUUACGUUUAGAAAACUUCUUAGAGGGACAAGCGGUGUUUAGCUGCAUGAAGUUGAGCAAUAACAGGUCUGUGAUGCCCUUAGAUGUCCAGGGCUGCACGCGCGCUACACUGGAGGAAUCAGCGUGCUGUAACCAUUUUCGAAAGAAAUUGGUAACCCGUUGAAAAUCCUCCGUGAUCGGGAUCGGGAAUUGCAAUUAUUUCCCUUGAACGAGGAAUUCCUAGUAAGUGUGAGUCAUCAGCUCACGUUGAUUACGUCCCUGCCCUUUGUACACACCGCCCGUCGCUGCCCGGGACUGAGCCGUUUCGAGAAAAGCGGGGACCGCUGUUUCGAAGCCUUUUCAUUAAGGUGGAGAUUCAUUUGGCGGAAAC
rnacentral:rRNA from 1 species